CAGGUAGGACUACCCGCUGAACUUAG
rnacentral:rRNA from 1 species